rnacentral:rRNA from 1 species
UGCCAGCAGCCGCGGUAAUUCCAGCUCCAAUAGCGUAUAUUAAAGUUGUUGCGGUUAAAAAGCUAGUAGUUGGAUCUCAGGUCCCGGCUCGCGGUUCACUUCACGGUGCUUACUGCCCGUCCGGACCUACCUGCCGGUUCUCCCUUGGUGCUCUUCAAUGAGUGUCUCGGGUGCCCGGAACGUUUACUCUGAAAAAAUUAGAGUGUUCAAAGCAGGCGCUUCGCCUGAAUAAUGGUGCAUGGAAUAAUGGAAUAGGACCUCGGUUCUAUUUUGUUGGUUUUUCGGAACUCGAGGUAAUGAUUAAGAGGGACGGCCGGGGGCAUUCGUAAUACGGUGUUAGAGGUGAAAUUCUUGGAUCGCCGUAAGACGAACUACUGCGAAAGCAUUUGCCAAGAAUG